UGCUUGGUGACUCCUACAAGGAUGGUAUCUGAGUAAGGUGGCUCUUGAAUGAGCUUACCUGAUUACAUCCAAUACUUAAAUAUUUGGAGCAAGCA
rfam:Oryza brachyantha chromosome 2, whole genome shotgun sequence.